GCUUGGGUAGCUCAGUUGGUAGAGCACUUGCUCGCGACGCAUGACCGCUACGGUCGCAGGUUCGAAUCCUGCCUCGGGCA